rnacentral:rRNA from 1 species
UACGAAGGGGGCUAGCGUUGUUCGGAAUCAUUGGGCGUAAAGGGCGUGUAGGCGGUUUGUUAAGUCAUGUGUGAAAUCCCUCGGCUCAACCGGGGAACGACGCAUGAAACUGGCAAGCUAGAGUACCAAAGAGGGGGGUGGAAUUCCCGGUGUAGCGGUGAAAUGCGUAGGUAUCGGGAGGAACACCUGUGGCGAAGGCGGCCCCCUGGUUGGAUACUGACGCUGAUACGCGAAAGCGUGGGGAGCAAACAGG